CCUACGGGUGGCAGCAGUCGAGAAUCAUUCACAAUGGGGGAAACCCUGAUGGUGCGACGCCGCGUGGGGGAAUAAAGGCCUUCGGGUUGUAAACCCCUGUCAUGUGGGAGCAAAUUAAAAAGAUAGUACCACAAGAGGAAGAGACUGCUAACUCUGUGCCAGCAGCCGCGGUAAUACAGGGGUCUCAAGCGUUGUUCGGAAUCACUGGGCGUAAAGCUUUCGUCGGCUGUUUAGUAAGUCGUGUGUGAAAGGCGAGGGCUCAACCCGCGGACUGCACAUGAUACUGCGAGACUAGAGUAAUGGAGGGGGAACCGGAAUUCGUGGUGUAGCAGUGAAAUGCGUAGAUAUCGAGAGGAACACUCGUGGCGAAGGCGGGUUCCUGGACAUUAACUGACGCUGAGGCACGAAGGCCAGGGGAGCGAAAGGGAUUAGAUACCCCUGUAGUC
rnacentral:rRNA from 1 species